UGCGUAGUCGGUUAUUCAAGUCGGGUGUGAAAGCCCCGGGCUCAACCUGGGAAUUGCAUUCGAUACUGUUUAGCUAGAGUUCGGCAGAGGGAAGCGGAAUUUCCGGUGUAGCGGUGAAAUGCGUAGAUAUCGGAAGGAACAUCAGUGGCGAAAGCGGCUUCCUGGACCAGAACUGACGAUCAGGCACGAAAGCGUGGGGAGCAAACA
rnacentral:rRNA from 1 species